GAUGAAGAACGCAGAGAAAUGCGAUACUUGGUGUGAAUUGCAGAAUCCCGUGAACCAUCGAGUCUUUGAACGCAAGUUGCGCCCGAGGCCAUUAGGCCGAGGGCACGCCUGCCUGGGCGUCACACGUCGUUGCCCCCCCCAUCUACUCCUUCGGGAUUGCGGGGGGCGGAUGAUGGCCUCCCGUGCGCCUCGCCGCGCGGUUGGCAUAAAUGCCAAGUCCUCGGCGAUGCACGCCACGACAAUCGGUGGUUGCGAAACCUCGGUUGCCCGUCGUGUGCGGUCGUCGCGCAUCGAGGGCUCGAAAAAAUUGCCGGGUUCCGGCUCGGCUUUCAACGCGACCCCAGGUCAGGCGGGGUUACCCGCUGAAUUUAAGCAUAUCAAUAAGCGGAGGA
rnacentral:misc_RNA from 1 species